rnacentral:misc_RNA from 1 species
UCGUAUAACAGAGGUGUAAGGGCUGUCGCUGACCUUUUCGAAGGUCGUGCACGUCCGAGCCCUCUCACAAUCCAUCUCACCCUUUGUGCAUCGCCGCGUGGGUCCCCCUUUUCGGGAGGGCUCGCGUUUUCACACAAAACUCGAUACAGUGUAGAAUGUUUACUUUUGCGGUCGCACGCAAUCAAUA